UGAUAUUGUCCUAAGUCAAACUUUUCUAACUUUGACCAAGUUAAAAAAUAUAUAUUAACGUCUAAACUACCAAAUAAAUGCUCUAUAUCUCAUAUUUCAUGGUGCACUUAAUGAAACUAAUUUGAUGUUCUAGACAUCGGUGCAUUUUCUAUAAACUUGGUCAAUAUUAGAAAAGUUUGUCUUAGGACAAAACCAA
rnacentral:pre_miRNA from 1 species